rnacentral:rRNA from 1 species
GACGAACGCUGGCGGCGUGCCUAAUACAUGCAAGUAGAACGCUGAAGGAGGAGCUUGCUUCUCUGGAUGAGUUGCGAACGGGUGAGUAACGCGUAGGUAACCUGCCUGGUAGCGGGGGAUAACUAUUGGAAACGAUAGCUAAUACCGCAUAAGAGUAGAUGUUGCAUGACAUUUGCUUAAAAGGUGCAAUUGCAUCACUACCAGAUGGACCUGCGUUGUAUUAGCUAGUUGGUGGGGUAACGGCUUACCAAGGCGACGAUACAUAGCCGACCUGAGAGGGUGAUCGGCCACACUGGGACUGAGACACGGCCCAGACUCCUACGGGAGGCAGCAGUAGGGAAUCUUCGGCAAUGGACGGAAGUCUGACCGAGCAACGCCGCGGGAGUGAAGAAGGUUUUCGGAUCGUAAAGCUCUGUUGUAAGGGAAGAACGAGUGUGAGAGUGGAAAGUUCACACUGUGACGGUAUCUUACCAGAAAGGGACGGCUAACUACGUG